rnacentral:rRNA from 1 species
GAUGAACGCUGGCGGCGUGCUUAACACAUGCAAGUCGAACGGAAGCGCCCGGCGCUUGUGGUGGGCACGCGUGGCGAAAGCGUGAGUGAAACGUGAGUAACAUGCCCUCGACUGUGGGAGAACUUCAGGAAACUGGGGCUAAUACACGAUAGGAGCUCCUGCAGCAUGGGGGGUGUUGGAAAGAUUGGGCGGAUGGGGAUGGACUCGCGGCUUAUCAGCUUGUUGGUGGGGUAGGGGCUUACCAAGGCUUUGACGGGUAGCCGGCCUGAGAGGGUAACCGGCGACAAUGCGACUGAGAGAGGGACCAGACUCGUACGGGCGGCAGUAGUGGGGAAUAUUGCACAAUGGGCGGAAGCCUGAUGAAGAGACGCCGCGUGCGUGAUGACGGCCUUCGGGUGGUAAACCGCUUCCGCAUGUGCCGAAGCGUGAUUGACGGUAAUGGGUAAAGAAGCAACGGCUAACUACGUG